GCAGUCGACGCUGAAGCCUGGUGCUUGCACCGGGUGGAUGAGUGGCGAACGGGUGAGUAACACGUGAGUAACCUGCCCCUGACUUCGGGAUAAGCCCGGGAAACUGGGUCUAAUACCGGAUACGACCGUCGGACGCAUGUCUGGUGGUGGAAAGUUUUUUCGGUUGGGGAUGGGCUCGCGGCCUAUCAGUUUGUUGGUGAGGUAAUGGCUCACCAAGACGACGACGGGUAGCCGGCCUGAGAGGGCGACCGGCCACACUGGGACUGAGACACGGCCCAGACUCCUACGGGAGGCAGCAGUGGGGAAUAUUGCACAAUGGGGGAAACCCUGAUGCAGCGACGCAGCGUGCGGGAUGACGGCCUUCGGGUUGUAAACCGCUUUCAGCAGGGAAGAAGCGCAAGUGACGGUACCUGCAGAAGAAGUACCGGCUAACUACGUGCCAGCAGCCGCGGUAAUACGUAGGGUACGAGCGUUGUCCGGAAUUAUUGGGCGUAAAGAGCUCGUAGGUGGUUGGUCACGUCUGCUGUGGAAACGCAACGCUUAACGUUGCGCGUGCAGUGGGUACGGGCUGACUAGAGUGCAGUAGGGGAGUCUGGAAUUCCUGGUGUAGCGGUGAAAUGCGCAGAUAUCAGGAGGAACACCGGUGGCGAAGGCGGGACUCUGGGCUGUAACUGACACUGAGGAGCGAAAGCAUGGGGAGCGAACAGGAUUAGAUACCCUGGUAGUCCAUGCCGUAAACGUUGGGCACUAGGUGUGGGGGGCAUUCCACGUUCUCCGCGCCGUAGCUAACGCAUUAAGUGCCCCGCCUGGGGAGUACGGUCGCAAGGCUAAAACUCAAAGGAAUUGACGGGGGCCCGCACAAGCGGCGGAGCAUGCGGAUUAAUUCGAUGCAACGCGAAGAACCUUACCAAGGCUUGACAUACACCAGACCGUCCUGGAAACAGGUCCUCUUCUUUGAAGCUGGUGUACAGGUGGUGCAUGGUUGUCGUCAGCUCGUGUCGUGAGAUGUUGGGUUAAGUCCCGCAACGAGCGCAACCCUCGUUCUAUGUUGCCAGCACGUGAUGGUGGGAACUCAUAGG
rnacentral:rRNA from 1 species